rnacentral:misc_RNA from 1 species
AAGUCGUAACAAGGUUUCCGUAGGUGAACCUGCGGAAGGAUCAUUAACACAAAACAGCUGAGGCCGUCGAAGCAGGAAACUGCCUCGAUGCGUCUCAUCUACUAUCCAACCGUGGUCUUGUUUUGUACCUCAGCCGUUAUACGCUGUGGUUUAUCCAUUUCAUCCUUGUGAUGAAUUGGCCUUUUUUUCAUUUUCUGAAUGACUACCUGCACUGAUGUCGUAUGCUCGCGAAAGUGGGCGUGCGUUUAUUGGCCUCGUGUCAAUAAAAUUAAUCACAACUCGUAACAAUGGAUAUCUCGGCUAAC